rnacentral:rRNA from 1 species
GACGAACGCUGGCGGCGUGCUUAACACAUGCAAGUCGAACGAUGAAGCCGGAGCUUGCUCUGGUGAAUUAGUGGCGAACGGGUGAGUAACACGUGAGUAACCUGCCCUUGACUCUGGGAUAACUGCGGGAAACUGUAGCUAAUACCGGAUACGACCCUCGGAGGCAUCUCCUGGGGGUGGAAAGAAUUUCGGUCAAGGAUGGACACGCGGCCUAUCAGCUAGUUGGUGAGGUAAAGGCUCACCAAGGCGACGACGGGUAGCCGGCCUGAGAGGGUAGCCGGCCACACUGGGACUGAGACACGGCCCAGACUCCUACGGGAGGCAGCAGUGGGGAAUAUUGCACAAUGGGCGCAAGCCUGAUGCAGCAACGCCGCGUGAGGGAUGACGGCCUUCGGGUUGUAAACCUCUUUUAGUAGGGAAGAAGCGAAAGUGACGGUACCUGCAGAAAAAGCACCGGCUAACUACGUGCCAGCCGCCGCCGUAA